GGGCCAUUAGCUCAAUUUGGUAGAGCAACUGACUCUUAAUCAGCAGGUUCUAGGUUCGAGUCCUAGAUGGCCCACCA
rnacentral:tRNA from 1 species